rnacentral:rRNA from 1 species
ACAUGUCCUUUUGUUUAUUAAUUUAAGGUUUAACCUGCCCAAUGAGGAAUUCAAUGGCCGCAGUAUUUUAACUGUGCUAAGGUAGCAUAAUCAUUUGUCUUUUAAUUGAGGGCUGGAAUGAAGGGUUGGACGAGGCAUUAGCUUUCUUUGAUUUAAUUUAGGAAUUUAAUUUUUGAGUUAAAAAGCUUAAAUUUAUUUAUGGGACGAGAAGACCCUAUAGAUCUUUAUGGUUCUAUGUUUUAAUAAUUUAGGGAUUUAUAUAUUUUAAGCAGAUGAAUUAUUUUGUUGGGGUGACUGUAGAAUUUAAAUAACUUCUAUUUUUUAUUUUCAUUAAUUAAUGUUUUUUUGAUCCAUAAUUUAUGAUUAGAAGAAUAAGUUACCUUAGGGAUAACAGCGUAAUUUCCUCGGAGAGUUCAUAUUGAUGAGGGAGUUUGCGACCUCGAUGUUGGAUUAAAAUAAGUUGUGGAUGCAGGAGUCUAUUUACUAGGUCUGUUCGACCUUUGAAUUUUUACAUGAUCUGAGUUCAAACCGGAG